GGAGUUGCUGCUCAGUGGUAGAGCAUCUGGUUGGUAUGCAGAAGUCCCCAGGUUCGAUCCCAGGCACCUCCA
rnacentral:tRNA from 1 species